GAACGGAAGUGCGGGUUGAAGCUGGUAGGAUGGCUGGACAGGUAAAUCCGUCUGGUUAGAUCCGAGAAGCGAGUACGAGCCCUCUUUUGGGCGAAGUCACUGAUUCCAGGCUGCCAAGAAAACCCUCUAAGCUUCAGGCACGGGACGACCGUACCGUAAACCGACACAGGUAGACGGGAAGAGAAUUCCAAGGCGCGUGAGUGAUCCCUCGUGAAGGAACUCGGCAAAUUAGCACCGUAACUUCGGAAGAAGGUGUGCUGGUUGUCGUUAGCUUCCUCGCGAAGUGAAGCGACAGCUAGUCGCAGUGAAAUGCCCCAAGCGACUGUUUAUCAAAAACACAGGGCUCUGCUAAGUCGAAAACGACGUAUAGGGUCUGACUCCUGCCCGGUGCCGGAAGGUUAAGGGGAGCGGUUAGCCGCAAGGCGAAGCUGCGAACCGAAGCCCCGGUAAACGGCGGCCGUAACUAUAACGGUCCUAAGGUAGCGAAAUUCCUUGUCGGGUAAGUUCCGACCUGCACGAAUGGAGUAACGAUUUGGGGAUUGUCUCCACGAGGGGCUCAGCGAAUCUGUAGCGCUGGUGAAGAUGCCAGCUACCCGCAACUAGACGGAAAGACCCUGUGCACCUUUACUGCACCCUGGCAGUGAACUUUGGUGCUGUAUGUGUAGGAUAGGUGGGACUCUUUGAAGCCGGGCCGCUAGGUUCGGUGGAGAGGCCGGUGAAAUACCACCCUUACAGUACCGAAGUUCUAACCGAGGUCCCUGAUCGGGAUCCGGAACAUUGCCAGGCGGGCAGUUUGACUGGGGCGGUCGCCUCCCAAAGUGUAACGGAGGCUCG
rnacentral:misc_RNA from 1 species